AAGUCGUAACAAGGUUUCCGUAGGUGAACCUGCGGAAGGAUCAUUACCAAAUCCAAAUACCCAACUCCCAUGUGAACUAUUGUAAUAGUCUGUCUUUGGGAGAAAAAGAAGAAAAACAGAACAUCGUGUCUGUUUUUUAGACGUUUCUCCCAAAAGAAUCCGGGCAUUUACUUUCUUUUUGAUAAGAAUUGUUUUAUGUCACUUGGAUUCUCUAAAAACCUUUAAACCACUUGAUUCAUUGUUGGAAUUCUCUUUUAUUAAUUAUCAAUAAAAGACAACUUUUAACGGCGGAUCUCUUGGCUCGUG
rnacentral:misc_RNA from 1 species